GAGUUUGAUCAUGGCUCAGAGUGAACGCUGGCGGCGUGCUUAACACAUGCAAGUCGAACGGACUUAAGGGGCUUGCUUCUUAAGUUAGUGGCGCACGGGUGAGUAAUAUAUAGCUAACCUGCCCUUUAGUGGGGGACAACAGUUGGAAACGACUGCUAAUACCCCAUACUCCUUCUGAUCUUAAGAUCAGUUGGGAAAGAUUUAUCGCUAAAGGAUGGGGCUUUAUUGUAUCAGCUAGUUGGUGGGGUAAUGGCCUACCAAGGCUAUGACGCAUACCUGGUCUGAGAGGAUGAUCAGGCACACUGGAACUGAGACACGGUCCAGACUCCUACGGGAGGCAGCAGUGGGGAAUAUUGCACAAUGGAGGAAACUCUGAUGCAGCAACGCCGCGUGGAGGAUGACGCAUUUCGGUGUGUAAACUCCUUUUAUAGGGGAAGAUAAUGACGGUACCCUAUGAAUAAGCACCGGCUAACUCCGUGCCAGCAGCCGCGGUAAUACGGAGGGUGCAAGCGUUACUCGGAAUCACUGGGCGUAAAGGAUGCGUAGGCUGGAAAUCAAGUCGAAAGUGAAAUCCAACGGCUCAACCGUUGAACUGCUUUCGAAACUGGUUACCCUAGAUAUGGGAGAGGUAGAUGGGAAUUAGUGGUGUAG
rnacentral:rRNA from 1 species